GACGAACGCUGGCGGCGUGCUUAAUACAUGCAAGUCAACUGAACUUGAGAUAGCAAUAUUUUAAGGGAGGUGGCGCACGGGUGAGUAACACGUAGGUAAUCUGCCUUUAGGUCUGACACAACCCCGAGAAAUCGGGGCUAAUAUCAGAUGAUGCAGCGGCUCGACAUCGAGACAGUUGUUAAACCUUCGGGGCCUAGAGAUGAGCCUGCGUCUGAUUAGGUAGUUGGCGGAGUAAAGCCCACCAAGCCUGCGAUCAGUAGCUGGUCUGAGAGGAUGAUCAGCCACACUGGAACUGAGACACGGUCCAGACUCCUACGGGAGGCAGCAGUAAGGAAUAUUGCUCAAUGGCCGAAAGGCUGAAGCAGCAACGCCGCGUGGAGGAUGAAAUACUUUUGUAUGUAAACUCCUGUAAGAAGGGAAAAUAUUCCGAUUUAUCGGGAUUGAUUGUACCUUCAGAGUAAGCCCCGGCUAACUACGUG
rnacentral:rRNA from 1 species